UACGUAGGGGGCGAGCGUUGUCCGGAGUUACUGGGCGUAAAGCGCACGUAGGCGGCUUUGUAAGUUAGAGGUGAAAGCCCGGGGCUCAACUCCGGAAUUGCCUUUAAGACUGCAUCGCUCGAAUUGUGGAGAGGUAAGUGGAAUUCCGAGUGUAGAGGUGAAAUUCGUAGAUAUUCGGAAGAACACCAGUGGCGAAGGCGACUUACUGGACACAUAUUGACGCUGAGGUGCGAAAGCGUGGGGAGCAAACAGG
rnacentral:rRNA from 1 species